GGCUGAGGGGGCGGGCUGAGGGGACGGGCUGAGGGGACGGGCUGAGGGGACGGGCUGAGGUGAGCGGCCGGUCCGGCCCCAGCCUCCCCGCCCGCCGCAGGCCCCCGCCCGCCGACGGCGCCUCCUCCUGCCCGAGAGGCUUCCCCCGGAGACCCCCUGUCAGGGUUGCAUAUGCAUGGAAGUAUGUAGUCUUCUGUCCCGGCAUCUUCAGAAAGAAGAUCAGUAUUUUAUGUGCAGUCUUCACUGGGGCUAUUAAAAUUUAAUGGAAAAUGCAGGCAAUGAGGAGGAGAAACUGAAAAAUAAGGUCUAGGGACAGCCAGCCAGUAGUUA
rnacentral:lncRNA from 1 species